rnacentral:piRNA from 1 species
UAAUGUUCAGGGCUCCCAGGUGUAGACU